rnacentral:ncRNA from 1 species
ACGUUAAAGUCGAAGAAAUGAGUAACUAGUUACCGGUAUUUAGAGAGUCAUUGGCUGCUGGAAAAUGACUACCCAAAUUAGUGAAGAUGGUUUCUUUAUUAUAAAGAUGAAUCGGCUAGUUUUAAAUGAACCGAUUACGGGUUAACCGUUAUCUUGAUCGAGGAUUUGAAUUUAUUCAAAUCAAAGAAUGGUGGUACCACGUGCAAGCGUCCUUUCA